rnacentral:pre_miRNA from 1 species
CGUGCACUAGAGGGGGUUCCCUCAUCCCGGAUUGUGAGAGGGCGAAGGCCAGGCUGAGGGACCCCACCGGUGCACA